rnacentral:lncRNA from 1 species
AACAAGCCCAGAAGGCGGCGGACACUCGCAUAAAGUCACGCAGUAGUACUCGGAGCCCGGGGUAGAACCUGGACUUCAAAUCUCUGCACUCCCGGCCGGGUGGUGGGCGCAUAUCCUGGGUAGCCUCUAGGAAGCGCUAGACACAUGGAACCAAGGCAGAUUCAGCCUGGCAGCUGGCAAGUCAUGGAGCACUGCCUGUCCAUCUGCGAGCUAACAACAGUCGCGCUGGAAGUCAACAAGGGAAAUGGAAAGGGAGAGACCCAGCCUCCACAGGGGCUCACGCCCUGGGACCUGUGCCAGUGUGAACAAGGUUUUCCGGCCCCAGGAAGCAGGCCUAAGUACUCUCAUUUCAUCACUGAGGAGCCUGAGACGUUCAGUCAUUGAUUGGACAGCCCUCACCAUUCAAGCCCUCCUUGGUUUACAGCAGCAGAAAGAGAGGCUCUGAAGGUUCUAGCCAGAGGAAGCUGCAGCCAGGCCUGGCAGUCUCCCCUGCUCCCUUCCACCAGCUUGGUUCCUGUUUCUGCUGGUCCUGGGAGCCCCCAGCAGAUGGACUGCCCUUAUCAGCCGGCUCCAGGCCAGAGGAGGAAUCCUCCGGUCACGUGUGGCUCUCUGGAGGGAGAGAGACCUCAUAAAUACAUACAGCCCACGCAGAGGAAGGGGGGAGGGUCAAGGGGAAAGAAACCUUGACAUUCUGGCGACUGGGCCAGGAUUAAAGUCCACCAGGCAUAGUCCUUAUUGGCUAUUUCUAUGAGGAAUCUCAAAUCCACAUGGCUUCCCUGGAUGACAACGCUGACUUUGACUAGCCCUGGGAUCUGGGGCAUUCCCAGUGUGCUGCUGGCUUGAUCCAGGCCUAAUCCUUUGCCCAGGACUGACCUUUCACAGUUUACAGAGCACUUUAUCUCCUGGCUCAGUGAAGUCUCACAGAACCCUCCAGAGAGAAGGGAGUUUAUCAUCACCCUCAAUUUACAGAUGAGGAAGCUGAGGCUGCGAUUGUAACUGAGCUCCAUGCCCCGGGCGAGCCAUCGUUCCUGCCUGGCGAAGUCCACAAUCCAAUAAGGAGGGAAGGUUGAAGGGAUGAAUCUCAACAGAAUUGUGCACAGUGAAAGAAGCCAAUGAAAGAAGAGUACAUAUUGUAUAAUUCCAUUUAUAGAAAACUCUAGAAAAUGCAAGCUGAUCUACAGUGACAGAAAGCAGAUCCAUGGUUGUUUGGGGAAGUGAGGCAGAAGGAAAGGAUUCAGAGAAGCACAAGGAACCUUUUAGGGUGGUAGACAUGCUUACUAUCUGGUACUGAGAGUUUCUCAUGUCUGCACGUAUCUAAUUGUACACUUUAAAUACACACAGUUUAUUGUAUGUCAAUUAUAUCUCCAUAAAGCUAUUUAAAAAGAGGAACGUAAGUGGGGAAAAGAAUGAAGGAAGUUGGCUGGCGUAUAAUUAAGUAAGUCUGUGAGCAGUCUUAAAGUGGGGACACAAAGUACCAUGGGCACGUAAGAGAAGAAGGUAGAGAUUCAUUCCCAAACGGAAGAGAUCAGGAAGGAGUUCUUAGAACAGGGUUUCAACAAAGCUCAAGGUAUGGAUAAGUAAGGGUCAGGUUAAGAAAGAUUCAGAUGGAAGAUACAGAUAGAGUUUAUUUGGGAAAUAGAGAGUGGAGUAUUAUACACACGCACAAUUCGCCUUUUUACCCAAGUUUUGAAGGACUGAAGUUAAAACUAACAGCAACUAUCCUCUCUUUUCUUCAGAAAUUCAGACACAUGCCCUACUUGGCAGGCAGCUAGUUUUGCUAAUAAGAUUCCUGCCCUUCUCCCUCCCUCUCUGUGCAUCUCAUCCCUUCGGUCCCGCUGAGGCCCCUACCCUCUCGGAUUUCCUCUUUGAACUGAACUGCCAAAUACUUGCCAGCUUCCAGGGCCCUGAGUACCCACAUUUCAGCCUCUUCCAAACCCCAGAGUAAGAAGGAGAUUUGGGGAGUUCUGGGUGGGCAUGUGAUGGGAGACUAGGUCCAACAUAAAAAGAUAUUUCCCUUUUUCUUCCAUACUUUUUGGCUUAGUAAUUGACAUGUGACCAUUGGAGAAUUUUGAAUAGUUUAUUAGAAUACAUUGUGAUAGAGAAGAAGGAAAUUCAAGAAUUGUUACAAUGUUGUACACUGAUUAACUGGCUAAUUUGCUGCAAAACCAAUUCUGAUCACUGCUCUUAUGGUUUGUAAUACAUUAUUUUGGGUUUGGAUGAUCCUGUUAUUCAUAGCUUUACAUAAAGAAAUAUUCCAAUGACAUAUGAAACCC